rnacentral:lncRNA from 1 species
CUCCCCAACUCUCGUUCUCUUCAAUCUCGUUUUACCACAGCCCGACUGCCGCCCACCGCCGCGCCAUCGUCGGCCGCCGCUGCCCACCGCCACUCCACUGUCGCCGGCCGCCGCUUUCCAUUUGCCUUGCGCUACUCUCUUUUCCGGCGACAUCAGCGCCCAUCACCACUCCCCUCUUUGCCGGAUCUUCUCUCAUUAAACUCUUUCUCGCCAGAUCUGGCGCCGACGACGAAGAAGAAGAAGAAACACAACAUAUACAAGUACUACGGUAAAAAUAUUAUGUUACAAUUUGAUUGUGAAUUGUCAGGGUAAAUAAUUGACUUCAUUUAAAAAACUAUAUUCUUUCCACUUUGCUUAAUGUAGCAAUAUAAUUGUUUAGAAGUGCUUCAUUAAUUUUAUGAUGCAUAAAUUAUUAGGUAUUGCAGCGUUCAUUUAGUUUUAAGAAGAAUUUUUGCCUUUUUUUGGGUUAUUGACAAAGCUCAUGUCGUUUGAUAGUUCAUAAAUUUAAAAAAAAAAUUCCAUAAUUUUUUUGAAUCGAUGGUUUGAAAUUGGAGGUUCAAGCGGAUAUGUUUUUUUUUCUUUUUUUUUGUGCUAUCUUUUUGGCUAAUCGAGUCGAUGGAAAAUAUUUGUGCUAGGUAAGACAGUGUUUUCAAAUUUAUAUGUUAUACAAAGUGUAUGUGACAUAUGAAUUUUUGUUUUGUUGUACAGGAUGAUGAAGAAUCCUUGUUACAGAGAGAGAAAUAAAUAGAUAAAAUUAGUAUAGAAGGCAUUUCUUUUGAUGGAAAGGUUUAAUAGUUUUUGCCAUAAGUUGGUGUGAAUUCUUGUUUUGUUUAAAUAAUUUUUUUU